rnacentral:lncRNA from 1 species
AUGGAAAGUGGAUAAAGGAAGUAUAAACCCAACAGCAUUAAUUCUGAAAUACAAAGUGUCCUUCCAUGUACUUUUCUAAAAUGAGAGAGACUUCUCAGAAGGUGCUAGGUUCCUUGAAUGUACCAAAAAUAUAGUGGCUCAUUUUGAAACUGCCAUACUUAAGUCUGGAUUGUACUAAGUUCGGUACACUUUGCCAAUAGUUCAUUCAUAUCUGUGUGUAGGUUUCCCUUUGGAAUUUUAAUAUCACUAAUUUUUAUCCAAGACUCCUAAGUCAACUGAUUUUAAAUCAUUUCUAUUAUUCCUACAAGGAAAUAAAAUCCUAAAUAUACAUUUGAGAGUUCCCUUUGUGGCUCAGUGGUUAAUGAACCCAACUAGGAUCCAUGAGGAUGCAGGUUCGAUCCCUGGCCUCGAUCAGUGGAUUAAGGAUCCAGCAUUGCCAUGAGCAGUGAUGUAGGUCACAGACCCGGCUCCCAUCCCGGAUCCCCUGUUGCUGUGUCUGUGGAGUAGGCGGGGGGCUGCAGCCCCGAUUCGACCCCUAGCCUGGGAACCGCCAUAUGCCGCAGGUGCAGCCCUAAAAAAUAGACAAAAAAAAAAGGAAAAGAAAGAAAACUUCAAAAAGCUUUUUGCUCACAGACUCAUUUUCUGAAAUGGCUGUUUGUAAAUAGUAAAUCUAUAUUAACACAUGCAACACUGUUAUACAUUUUUCUUAGAAGGGGGAUUCACUUUUUUUUCUCUCCCAGUUUUUGUUCUUUUUUUUUUUUUAUGUUUGAUUUUAUUGUGGUAAAAACACUUAACAUGAGAUCUACCCCUCUUAAAUUCUCUUUGGCCUAAUGUAACAUACUUGGGGUUUGGGUUAGAGCCUUUAUUUUCCACCUUAAAAUACAAAAUGUCAGGCAUUAAAUAUCGAGUCUCUUACUAAUAUAUACAGACUGGAUAAAGGUAGAAAGCCACCAAGUUUUUCCCGCACAAAGGAGGCAUGCAUUAUCAUUGCUAUCACAUGCCUUCACAAAACAAUAGCCCUCCUUCUAGAACCAUCGUUUUCAAAAGGAGCAGGUAAAUAUUAUUAUUUACUACUCUAAGGCAGCGAUAACUGAUUAAGGUAAAUUUAGUGGAAACAUUAAAAUAAUGGCAGGAGAAGAAAAUUUAUUCCACAGAAACACUGUGUGAACUUAUUGG